ensembl:lncRNA
CACUUUUCAGUAAUGUUUAUUAGUUUUUUUUCUUUUGAAGUCAGGUUCUUCAAUCACAGAAUCACAGAAUUUGCAACUUCUUUUACCAAUCAAAACGCUCAAUUACAAAAGAUAACAAGAUUAUAAAUGGUGCACAGCUGAAAGUCAGAUAUCAGCUGUAAUAUGAAGUUUCAGUUUGCUCUUUGUCCUCUCAGGGACUUCCUCUCAGUCUCCACCUCCACCCGAGAAAAAUAACAAUACAAAACCAUUCUUUGCACAGCGGUUGUUCAUGCAACAAUAAAAUUCCAUUUAACUCCAAUUUAAAAACAAUUAAAACUUUCAUCACCUCACACAUUGCACCAAAACCCGUUCAUGCAACACAUAACACCUGCUGAGAGGAGCGUUUUCUGAAAGGCUUCAAGCAAAACACAUUAACAGAUCUUCAGAUCAUCUGUAUGGGCAAUUCCAGCAGGCACAUGAAGUCAGAUGAUACAAACAUCAAGAGUUCUUCUUUUUCUGUGAUGAGGCAGUGCUGACUUAAAUUAAGAAGGACAUUAACAUAAAAGAAACUAUCAUAUAUAUAUAUAUAUUACCUAGAAAAUAUAACUCUUAUCUGUUUCAUUAUAUUGCAUAGACAAGUGAUCCUUCAUCACCCAGCAGUGCACCGCUGAGGGGUUACGUGCUACUACAUUCAUGUCACUUUCCCUCAGUUUCCCUGAAAAUAAACUAGGUGACUUUAUCCGUGAAGUAAACACAAUUAUUUGGUCCCUUAUUCAUCCUGAUACUAGAGAAAACAAAACACCACAAGUAAUGACAAACACAAUUAAAAAAUGAUCAAAACAGACCAAAAAACAACAUUAUUGUUCAAUAAAAUGGUGGUGACCUCAUCAGAUGGGUAAUUUUGGCGAAGGUGACUGGCUUCUAUCGAGGGCAAGACUCAUCUGAAAAAUAGAGACGGAGAUGGAAGGUAAAUAUGGUGAAUCUAGGAUCUUUAUGUCAUUUUAGUUUGUAUUUUGAGGUAUUCCCAUUCACCAAAGGUAACAUUUAUAGCUUUGUGAGAGCCAUAAAUGCAAUUUUACCUUUCCAUUUGCUCUCUGGUAUUUACAGUAGCAUUGAAUUUAAAAAUCUUAACCAUUUCUUUGUAAUUUUUAUUUGCAAAAGUUUCAUUUUACCAAGCUUGCCCUCAUUUCCAACCAGCUGCUGUUUACAAGAUAUUCAAAUUUGGUCAGUUUGUACAGUUAAGGUAUAUUUUUAUUUCCUAUAUUUUCUAACCUUCAUUUAACCUCCUCUUCUGUUGGACUAACUACCCUUGCAGACAGUUCAUAUAUUUAAAAAAAAAAAAAAAAAAAAACUAAACAAAAAUGAUAUACUGCUAGGUUAGCAACCAAGCUAACAGAUGCGCUGACUAGCAGCUAGUGUGCUAACUGCUAGUUUGCACAAUAACUCCUAGAAACAUUUUUCAAUAACUCUAGGGAAAUUAUGUAAAAUCCACAACAGUGACAGGAGAAAUAUACAUGUCUCCAGUACAGAAGAAUGACCUGCCAGCAUUUAUUAAAUGUUUAGAAAUGUAUAUUUUUAACGUCACUCUCCCCUUAGCAGCAAAGCUAGCAGCUAGCUAAAUUGAAAAGCCUUUUUGCCCCUUCAGUAAAUCUUAUUUAAUAAUAUUAUGUAAAUAUUGGCGACAAAAUGCUAAGGGUAGUAAUUCAGCAAACAUGGACGAACAAUAUUACAAGGAAUGUGUAUGUAUGUUAUUUUAAUAGAACAAUAACUUAGAGUGACCAUAUUUUGAUUUCUAAAAAAGAGGACACUUGGCUACUCAUGAAGAACUUGCUUAAAGAAAUAUAUUUAACAUAUUUAAACGAUGCCUUCUCUGUGUGGUUAAUGAAUUGUCAAAAUAAAAUAUGUCAUAGAGGCUUUUGCAAGUCAACAAGUGCAAAAAAAUAACUUAAAAGCCUCUGGAAUUAAAUAAUGGUACAGAAAUAACGCCUCAUCUGCAUAAGAAAAAUUACCAGUACUGGGUCGGUACGAGGGAAAUUUCUUUUGCGGUUCGUCUGAAAAGAUGCACUUGCGCUUUGGGAUCUUUUAAACAUCAUUAGGCGCAUUGCUGCGUGCUGUCUGUCCCAUCUGUGAGCGCAGAACAAGCGCUCACAAAGCAGCAGUUCGGGAAUGACGUCACACAUGGGUCCUCUGUCUGAAUAUAGGAAAACCCGGACAUUUUUAUCAAUCUCGAAAAUCCCCCCCAGACGCACCGGACAGAACAUGAAAAGGGGACAUGUCCAGUGAAAAGAGGACGGUUGGUCACCCUACAAUAACUAAUCUUGUUAUUACAUGGCUCUGAACAAACUGAUGCUACAGAAGGGACCAUCACCUGUGGUAACAACAUGUGACUGACAAAACAUUAACAAAUGAGCAUCUGGUUUCAGACUCAUAUAAAGACAUCUUUACAUUACUGAAGAGACAUUUAGUCACCAUUUUUCCUUCAGAAAUUUCCUAAAAAGCUGGGCACUGUGGUUUUUAGCACACAAGUAUUUUUAUUUGUGAAUUUGUACACAUUUGGAGUCUCUCAGAAAAACUACAGUGCCCAUUCUUUUCCUACUGAGGAAACAUCAUGAAUUUUAUGUCAGUGGUAAACAAUGAAGAAGCAUAAUGUCCGGCUUUCUUGUUAGGAUCAAUACAUUGUUGGUUUGGGAUUUGCGAGUUAUAAGACAAGCUCAAGCCUUAUCUUGAGGCACUCAGCCUUCUUCUGACCAUAAACCAAAAUUCAGCAUGUUAUCUUUCAUGAAAUCCAAACCCACAGAGUUUAUCAGGGUGUCAGUAAGGCCGAAAAAGACCUCACUAAACGUUAUGUUUUCUGAGCCGUGGGGGUAAGUGACUCACAUCUAUUACACGCGGUCCCGUUGCAGUUCCCGUACUCCUCGUAUUCUUCACCACGACCGCCCCCCCCUCCCUGUCACCCUGCUCCUCCUGCACCUCCUCAUCCUGCAGCCUCUCCGCGCUCCCCAGGUCCUGAGAGUGGGGAUUGAAGAACUGCAUGAGGGCCUCCGAUGGGUACUCACACACCUGCUCCAGCUUGACCUCAUUAAAACACACCUUCCCC